GCCCGCUUGGCACAGCGGUAAUGCGCCUCACUAGUAGAUGCCAUCUAUUAAUGCGGAAGCAAUGAGGAGAUGACUGGUUCGACUCCAGUAGUGGGCA
rnacentral:tRNA from 1 species